rnacentral:rRNA from 1 species
UACGGGGGGGGCAAGCGUUAUUCGGAAUUAUUGGGCGUAAAGGGCGCGUAGGCGGCUUGGCAAGUGGAAGGUGAAAUCCCUCGGCUUAACCGAGGAACUGCCCUCCAAACUGCUUCGCUUGAGACCGGGAGAGGUGAGUGGAAUUCCCAGUGUAGCGGUGAAAUGCGUAGAUAUUGGGAGGAACACCAGUGGCGAAGGCGGCUCACUGGACCGGUACUGACGCUGAUGCGCGAAAGCGUGGGGAGCAAACGGG